rnacentral:rRNA from 1 species
GACGAACGCUGGCGGCGUGCCUAAUACAUGCAAGUUGAGCGAUGAAGCUUGGUGCUUGCACCAAUUUGAAGAGCAGCGAACGGGUGAGUAACGCGUGGGGAAUCUGCCUUUGAGCGGGGGACAACAUUUGGAAACGAAUGCUAAUACCGCAUAACAACUUUAAACAUAAGUUUUAAGUUUGAAAGAUGCAAUUGCAUCACUCAAAGAUGAUCCCGCGUUGUAUUAGCUAGUUGGUGAGGUAAAGGCUCACCAAGGCGAUGAUACAUAGCCGACCUGAGAGGGUGAUCGGCCACAUUGGGACUGAGACACGGCCCAAACUCCUACGGGAGGCAGCAGGAGGGAAUCUUCGGCAAUGGACGAAAGUCUGACCGGGCAACGCCGCGUGAGUGAAGAAGGUUUUCGGAUCGUAAAACUCUGUUGGUAGAGAAGAACGUUGGUGAGAGUGGAAAGCUCAUCAAGUGACGGUAACUACCCAGAAAGGGACGGCUAACUACGUG